CAGCCGCGGUAAUACGUAGGGGGCCAGCGUUGCUCGGAAUUACUGGGUGUAAAGGGUUCGUAGGCGGUGUGGCAAGUCGGGAGUGAAAUCUCUAGGCUCAACCUAGAGUCUGCUUCCGAAACUGCUGUGCUUGAGUGUGGGAGAGGCGCGUGGAAUUGCAGGUGUAGCGGUGAAAUGCGUAGAUAUCUGCAGGAACACCCGUGGCGAAAGCGGCGCGCUGGACCACUACUGACGCUGAGGAACGAAAGCUAGGGGAGCAAACAGGAUUAGAUACCCUGGUAGUCCUAGCCCUAAACGAUCAGGACUUGGGGUGCCACCCGUUCGGGUGUCGUCCCGGAGCUAACGCGUUAA
rnacentral:rRNA from 1 species